rnacentral:lncRNA from 1 species
AUGGCCAUCUUGGAGCUAGUUCUCAAUGUGGGAAAAAAUCAGUUCUAUGUCAAAAAUCUUCAGAAAAUGAGAGACGAGACCUGAGUCUUCAGGCUUACUUUCAUGUACGGAGAUGACAUGCUUGCACUCAACUUAUCGGUGAGUGGGAGGGCAAGUCUCUGCGUGGGAAGAACAAAUGGCCCCUCCCCAAGCAGGCUGAGCCAUCGUCGCCGGGCCUUGAACCCCUAGCUGAACACACACGCAGGCAGAAACUGAUUUCCCCUAAAACAGAGGUUAGCGGAUCUUUGGAAUCCAAGAUUCUGGACGGCCUCGGGUCUCCCGGGAGGGGCCCUGGGCGGCCUCGGGUCUCCCGGGGAGGGCCCUGGGCGGCCUCGGGUCUCCCGGGGAGGGCUCUGGGCGGCCUCGGGUCUCCCGGGAAGACCCUCUUCAAAGAGCACUUCUGCUUUCUCACCAGUGCUGCCAAGACCCCCGAUGCUCCAGAAUGGCCAUCAGUGCCGGGCCCCACCCCCAUCCUCUCCACCUGAAUGGGCACUGGCUGGGGGCCCUGUGCUUCACAGCAUUUCACAGAACAUAAGAAGAGUUAAGUGCCCUGGAAAUGGAACUAGAGGCAGGACAGAAGCCUCAAUAAGGCCGUGGGCAGUGAGCGCCCGCCAGCAAGGAUGUGCCUCGGCAGAAGCCCCCUGGGGCAGGGACAGGGCAGGCUCAAGACAGGCCAGGUCCCGUUCUUCAGGAAGCCGUCCCAGAUUGCCAGCAUGAGCCUGUAUGCUCACUCACCUCUUCUGCUAGGCUAGGGCUGCUGUGGAAAGCUCCAAAGUGGCCCGUUUCUUCACCAGACCCUUCUGGAGAGCUGCCCACCCAGGGGCUUCACCGCAAGCGAAAUCAACACGAUGCCCAACGGGCACGUCAAUAUGUGCAAAGCACUCAAAACCGUCUUCUGUAACUGGGAGUUAGACAUGAGGGCCAGCCACAAGAGCUCCCCUGCUGAGACACAGUGAGCUCCCUCACACGCUCACUGUGAGUAUUCAAAACUCCAUUUAAACUGACAAUCCUGAAAGCUGUUUACAUAUCUGUUCUUAAAGACUAAAUCUUUAACUUUCCCAAUUCUGUCUCAUGAGCUCAAUGAAAGAAAUCUUUUAGUAAAAUGCAGAAAGUAUCCUCUUUCACACACAGGACAGACAGCACAGCUUGCAAAGACCGAUCACUUCCUCCCACCAAGACAAGCACUGGCCUGGGCUGCGCAUGCAGGGGAGGAGGCAGGGCCCUGGUGGCCCCACAGCGUGCAGGGUGGGAGGCGGGGCCCCAGGGAGAGUCCCGCUGCCUGAGAGGCUCCUGGUCGCCUCGGGGCAGGCCCUCAAGGGGGCUGUGGGUAUCCGGAGUCCCCCACACCCUGGGAACAGACAGCAAGGCCAGGCGCUGGUCAGUUACCUAUUCAUUUCAAGAUCACUCAGGCGGGCAGAAAGAUCCUCAAGGCGGUUGAUUUGUUUGUGGCACUGGCUACAGUAAAACUCAAACGCCUCAUCAGUGAGGAUGCUGUGCAGCUUUGCGGCAAGAGGGUCAGUGCUAGAGAGACAGAAGCAUCCGUUCAGGAGAGGAUGAGGACCCGUGUGGUCAUCUGUGACUCCGCACGAGGGGCCGAGGGGAACAGGACAGGACAUGGUGUGGAACAAAAGCACGUGGAGAGAGAAUGAGCUGUGCAAUGUUCUGGCUCUUGCCUUUAGACCGCAGUGAGCCCACAUCCCUCAGCUGCCUCCAGGAGCCCAGGACAGGCACCAGCUCGAGCCUCAGGGGGCCCUGCACACACCUGCUCCUCUGGGUCGGGUGCCCAGAAGAAAGCAGGGGCAGCCUGAGAGCCUCCUUGCAAAGCAAAAGCCCUUCUUUAACAAGAAGGUAAAAAACCAUACUGCUUUCUCUUUUGCCAAAAACACAUCAAUGUGAUAGCGAACCAUGUCUCCGGGUAAACUUGUACUUACUGUACUAUAUUUAUGAUUACUCCAAAAACCACCUCUAGCAAAAACUAUGCAUGAAUGAUAAAUCUACAAUAGUUUUGUGAUUUUUUAAGAUGUGCGUUAAAGCCGGGCAUGGUGGCUCCUGCUUCUAAUUCCAGCACUUUGGGUGGAUCGCUUGAGCUCAGGCGUUUGAGACCAGCCUGGGCAACAUGGUGAACCCGUCUCUACAAAAAAUACAAAAUUAGCCCGGCGUAGUAGCUCAUACCUGUAGUCCCAGCUACUCAGGAAGCUGAGGGAGGUGGAGGCUGCAGUGAGCCAUGAUUGCACCACUCCAGCCUGGGCAAUAAAGUGAGAUCCUGUCUCAAAAAACCCCCAAAAAGACCGACCUGUCGAAACUCAGUGUUAGAUUUUGUGGUGGUGCUAGCUAACCUCCCUGUGACUUCACCUCCAAGGGCUUCUGGGCCACUGGCAGGGGUGCUGCGUCUGCGACGCGAAGGCAAAGGAGCAAAGGCAGCCUCAUCGCGGGCGCUGGGACCCACAUGCUGUGGGAAACCAUUUGGAAGCUCAAGUAAAGAAAGGUGAAAAGUGAAACAUACAAUGUAGCAUAGACAUUACACUUCAAACAGGUAACAAUGAAAACACUGAACAGGAGACAGGGACAAACUAAACACGUAGGAAGAGGUGAUUACCAAGCACAGAGACCCAAGUUUAGAAACGCCCCAGUCCUCUGGCCCUUGUCUUGACACCACCACGCGCUGGGAGAGGAAAGUGCCUAAGACAAGCACACUGCCUCUGAGGACCGUCUGUGAUGCCUCACUCAUGCACAGCUCUCCCAGGACGCUCGCCGGGACCAGAGCACACAGGAUAUCCGUGCAGGGUCCCCACACCCAGGGCUGACGGGCGGCUUCAAGGAGGGCACAU